rnacentral:rRNA from 1 species
GAUAAACGCUGGCGGCGUGCAUAACACAUGCAAGUCGAACGAUGAAGAUUAAAAGAUUUCUUCGGAAUGAACUUAAUUGGAUUAGUGGCGGACGGGUGAGUAACGCGUGAGUAACCUGCCUUGUACAAGGGGAUAGCCGUUGGAAACGACGAAUAAUACCCUAUGACAUCAAAUAAUCGCAUGAUAAUUUGAUCAAAGAUUUAUCGGUAUAAGAUGGACUCGCGUCUGAUUAGCUAGUUGGUAGAGUAAAAGCCUACCAAGGCAACGAUCAGUAGCCGGCUGGGGAGGGGGUCCGGCAACAUGGGGAUUGCGCCACGCCCCGGACUCCGCGGGGGGGAAGCGGGGGGGAAUUUGGAACAUGGGGGGAACCCGUGAGCCGGGGCCGCCGGGUGAUUAAGAGGCCCUCGGGGUUGAAAAAUUUUUUUUUAGGGAAAGAAAAGGACCGUCCAAAAAGAAAAAGGACCGGCUAAUUACGUC